GACAGAGGGUGCAAACGUUGUUCGGAAUUACUGGGCGUAAAGCGUGUGUAGGCGGCUUUGCAAGUCGGAUGUGAAAUCCCUCGGCUUAACCAAGGAAGUGCAUCCGAAACUGCAGUGCUUGAGUACUUAAGAGGAUCGCGGAAUUCCCGGUGUAGAGGUGAAAUUCGUAGAUAUCGGGAGGAACACCAGUGGCGAAGGCGGCGAUCUGGGAAGAUACUGACGCUGAGGUGCGAAAGCGUGGGGAGCAAACAGG
rnacentral:rRNA from 1 species